ACAGCAGCAGCCGCGGUAAUACGUAGGGUGCGAGCGUUAAUCGGAAUUACUGGGCGUAAAGCGUGCGCAGGCGGUUCGUUAAGACAGAUGUGAAAUCCCCGGGCUUAACCUGGGAACUGCAUUUGUGACUGGCGAGCUAGAGUAUGGCAGAGGGGGGUAGAAUUCCACGUGUAGCAGUGAAAUGCGUAGAGAUGUGGAGGAAUACCGAUGGCGAAGGCAGCCCCCUGGGCCAAUACUGACGCUCAUGCACGAAAGCGUGGGGAGCAAACAGGAUUAGAUACCCCUGUAGUCCCUGUCUCUUAUAC
rnacentral:rRNA from 1 species